ensembl:lncRNA
GGGUUAAUUAGGGCUGGUUGGUGGGUAUUGGGUUAGUUAGGGCUGGUUGGUGGGUAUUGGGUUAAUUAGGGUUGGUUGGUGGAUAUUGGGUUAAUUAGGGUUGGUUGGUGGAUAUUGUGUUAGUUAGGGUUGGUUGGUGGGUAUUGGGUUAAUUAGGGCUGGUUGGUGGAUAUUGGGUUAGUUAGGGCUGGUUGGUGGGUAUUGGGUUAGUUAGGGCUGGUUGGUGGAUAUUGGGCUAGUUAGGGCUGGUUGGUGGGUAUUGACUUAAUUAGGGCUGUUUGGUGGGUAUCGGGUUAAUUAGGGCUGGUUGGUGGGUAUCGGGUUAAUUAGGGCUGGUUGGUGGGUAUUGCGUUAGUUAGGGCUGGUUGGUGGGUAUUGCGUUAGUUUGGGCUGGUUGGUGGGUAUUGCGUUAGUUAGGGCUGGUUGGUGGGUAUUGGGUUAAUUAGGGCUGGUUGGUGGGUAUCGGGUUAAUUGGUUAAGGAGGAAUGGUAGUGGGUAUUGGGUUAGUUAGGGCUGGUUGGUGGGUAUUGCGUUAGUUAGGGCUGGAGGAAUGGUAGUGGGUAUUGGGUUAGUUAGGGCUGGUUGGUGGGUAUUGGGUUAAUUAGGGCUGGUUGGUGGGUAUUGGUUAAGGAGGAAUGGUAGUGGGUAUUGCGUUAGUUAGGGCUGGUUGGUGGGUAUUGGUUAAGGAGGAAUGGUAGUGGGUAUUGCGUUAGUUAGGGCUGGUUGGUGGGUAUUGGUUAAGGAGGAAUGGUAGUGGUGGUACUACUGGUAUAGCACUUUGGGUCAGAAUGUGGUUGCAACCUUCCAGGAUCCUCCAACCAGGAGUUCUAGAAUGUAUACAACCUUCCAGGAUCCUCCAACCAGGAGUUCUAGAAUGUAUACAACCUUCCAGGAUCCUCCAACCAGGAGUUCUAGAAUGUAUACAACCUUCCUGGAAUGUUGCAACCCCACAUCAGAAUGAUGUGGAAAUGUACAUCAAUAGCCAAAUGAGUAACAAGAGAAAGUAGUAUUGAAUAGGUACUAUUAGACAGAGAGCAUUACUUUACAGCCAUCUCUUUAUAGUCUUUGCACUCUAAGAUGCUUGGUGAUGGAUCGGUGCUUGAUUGGCUCACAAUCAAUAUAUUUACUGUAUCUUAAAGAGUUUUCAGUGCUGUGUUGCUAUUAGAGAGAGAUAAGCAUCCAUAGUAUCAGAUCUGAAGGAUUGUGGGUUAUGGAACUUGGUAUUUAAUUGUGUGAGUAUGUUUAUGUUUUUCAUGAAAAAGCACUUACUGGCCAACCCUGUUAAUUGAUCAAAUGCUUUGAAUCUGUGUGAUCAUGUCUAACAUGAUAAUGGAUAUGUUACACUCGAAGGAAAGAGAAGGGACAUUUAAAAGGUCCCUGUUUAGUUAACAUGUCCUUAAACCAGGGUAUGUUGGAGCUGAUGAGUUGGUUCUCAGAAGUGUGAUUGUUUGCGUUUUGCGUUCAUUAUAAAAAAUAAAAAAUGUUUGUCAAAAAGUGAAACCAGGCAGGUCCCGCCGGCCAGCUAGGUUAGGGCCGGGACGUUGAGUGUUUUUUGUAAAGCCUGUUGGGAUUUGUAGUUCUUGGGAUAAGCUAAAAGAUAGAGCCUGUAGUCCAGUAGGGUUGAUUCUGUGGCCUUCAGCUGGAAGAAAAGUGGUUUGAAUUUCGACCUCUGAGGAAUUGACUUUUCUAUGUUCCUUCUGGCUGGUGAGAAGACCGUGUGUAUAUUAAGGCUUAUGGAGACAGAGUUAAUGUUUUCACAAUGGAGGGUCAUUGUUUCCUUAUGGUCUGUUCUAGUGUUAAAUCUAAUGUUUCAAAUUAAGAGAGGUUGGUAGUUCUGCACAUGUGAGGUUGGGUUAGUGGGUCUAGUAAACGUCCAGUUCCAAGGAAAAGAAAGGCCUACAUUUACCAUAAUAGAAAUCAACAAUGUAAUACCCGAAUCAAAGUUGGAAAAGCAUCUCUCUCCUCGAACACUUUAAAGGUUUUCAUGUACCUAACUACCGCUUCCUACUGCUGCAUUAAAACCAGUCAUAUUGUGUCUACCAUUCGUUGAUUCUAUACAUUACAGUGUAAACCCAAUGUCUUAGUAGACUGGUCUACAUAGACCAUGACUAUACAGUAGUUGUAUGGGCUAGCUAUAUAAACACCGUACUUAAACAAUGAGCACUAUAGUGUCUAGAGGUGCUAUUAACAUUACAUGUAUCCUAUCGGUUCGUGUUUAUCAUGUGUAACACAGGAGACUAAUUCAAUAUUAAACCAUAUAGAUAUAUU